GACGUGUGUGUGUGUGUGUGUGUGUGUGUGUGUGUGUGUGUGUGUGCAGGCCCAGUGGGCGCCGCCCACUUGCACCCAAACCAGCAGGGCAGCUCUCUG
rnacentral:miRNA from 1 species